AUCACCCCACUACAGCCUCAAAUACUCUGGUGGUAACUGUGUUGCUCUUUUUCUUUAUUAUCUGUCCAGCUCAGUGAAACCAAAUUGCAUCGAGCCUGGCUUUGAUGCCAGUUGGCUGAAUUGUUCACGUUAAAAUGGUUAAUUUUACAUUAUGUGAAUUUUGCCUCAAUUAAAAAAUAACUGACAUGAAUUACUUGUCAGUGAGGGAGAUUUUUCAGGGCAUUUAAUACUUCAUUGAAAUGGAAGGUACAUUUUCUUUUCUACUGUAUUUCAGUAAACCUAAGAAAAUUUUGCAGAAAUACUUUCUUUGAAAAGCAAAAAUUCACAACAAAAUGUAGUAAACUCUGGACUUUAAAUUGCUUUGCAGAGGAAAGCUGCAUUCUCUCUGCCAUGGUGGAGCGAUACUGGGAAUAUGUGGCCCCUCUUGCUGUUAGAGCUGUCACAGCAUUGAUAGCCUGGGCUGAUGUGGCUGACCAGACUCAGGCUAAGUUCUGAGAUGCUUGGCUGGAAAAGAGAGAAGGGAUUGAACUGACCCUCAGAAAGUCACUGUGGAGCCAAGAGACCACACAGGAGACUGGCAGCAGGCAGAUGCCGAGGAAGGUGCCAUGGGGCAGCAGAACGGCUCACAGGACAGAGAAGUGGGACAGAUGGCGGAGCCUGAAAGAUGACCUGGGCAGCAUCUGCCAGCUGCAACACUAACGGAAAGACUCAGCUUUCGACCUGGGUGUUUCUUCCCUGUGAGUUGCCUUUACUUCUCACACAGAACACUUCAUUUCUGACACUUUGAUCACCAAACGGAAGUUUUCCCUUACAAAAACAAGCAAGUCUCUGCGACACAGCUGGAUGUCCCACAAUUUAACUCAAUUCUGACACUGUCUACCCAGAGACAGCAUCAGAUGCCAAAGGGUAGGGGUGUGGUCCCAAGUCUGCCUCACCCCCAUGUCUACACACAGAUACUUCAGACGCCCUGUCACCUGUGCUUCUGACCAAUCGGCUAUGGAUUGGAGGUUCCAAUGACCCGCUCCUUGGGUUCGGUUAAUUUGCUAGAGCAGCUCACAGAACUCAGGGAAGCAGUUUACUUCCCUCUACCAGUUCAUCAUCAAAGGGUAUGGUAAA
rnacentral:lncRNA from 1 species